UUAGCCCACAACACUCACACAGGUCUUGAGGUUUUGACCAACACGAUUUUGGACUUCUCAACACACCGUAGACUUCUUUUUUCUUGGCAAAUCAUGGGUUGCAACACGAGCCGGGACACUACAGUGGUGGACCCUUCUGGAAAGCCAGAGGAGAGGCCAAAGACAGCCACUUCCACCAAAGAGGAACCCACAACGGAAACUAAUGGGAAUACAGAGAAGGACAAGGAUGAAGAAACGAGGGUGCAAGCUGAUCGCCAUCUUUACACCUCACCCUAAACUCAAAAUUGUCCUGUCCGGGGUGAAGGAGGGCCUGUCAGCAGGAGGAGGAGAAGGAGGAGGCGACGCUGCACUACUGUCCAUCAACCUGUGUGUCAACUGGGCCAGCAACACACACCAAUACACACACCAGAAGAAAUCAAGCUAUGUUUAUACUCGAGAAAGAUAUUGAGUGUUGAAUACACCGAUUGAAAUAC